CGAGAGAUCGUAUCCUUCAGUUCGGCUGGAUCGGAGACAGGUGCUGCAUGGCUGUCGUCAGCUCGUGUCGUGAGAUGUUGGGUUAAGUCCCGCAACGAGCGCAACCCUCGCCCUUAGUUGCCAGCAUUCAGUUGGGCACUCUAAGGGGACUGCCGGUGAUAAGCCGAGAGGAAGGUGGGGAUGACGUCAAGUCCUCAUGGCCCUUACGGGCUGGGCUACACACGUGCUACAAUGGUGGUGACAGUGGGCAGCGAGACCGCGAGGUCGAGCUAAUCUCCAAAAGCCAUCUCAGUUCGGAUUGCACUCUGCAACUCGAGUGCAUGAAGUUGGAAUCGCUAGUAAUCGCAGAUCAGCAUG
rnacentral:rRNA from 1 species